rnacentral:rRNA from 1 species
UUCCGGUUGAUCCCGCCGGACCCUACUGCUAUCGGGGUGGGACUAAGACAUGCAAGUCGAGCGCUUCUAAGCCAUGGUAGAAGCGUGGCGAACGGCUCAGUAACACGUGGCUAACCUACCCUUGAGACAGAGAUAACCCCGGGAAACUGGGGCUAAUCUCUGAUAGGCGAAGAAGCCUGGAACGGCUCUUCGCCCAAAAGAUGUUAGCACCAUGCUUGCUAACAUCGCUCAAGGAUGGGGCCGCGGCCGAUCAGGUUGUUGGUGAGGUAACGGCUCACCAAGCCUAUAACCGGUACGGGCCGUGGGAGCGGUAGCCCGGAGAUGGGCACUGAGAUAAGGGCCCAAGCCCUACGGGGCGCAGCAGUCGCGAAAACUCCGCAAUACGCGAAAGCGUGACGGGGCUACCCCGAGUGUCGUCCGCUGAGGACGACUUUUCCACGCUGUAAGGAGGCGUGGGAAUAAGGAGAGGGCAAGUCUGGUGUCAGCCGCCGCGGUAAAACCAGC